UGACGGUCAUAUCACAUUGAAACACCGAUUCCCGUACAAUCAUCGAAGUUAAGCAAUGUCGAAAUCGUUCAGUAUCUAAAUAGGUGACCGCUUGAGAAUACCAGGUGUUGUAA